UAGGGAAUCUUCCGCAAUGGACGCAAGUCUGACGGAGCAACGCCGCGUGAGUGAAGAAGGAUUUCGGUUCGUAAAACUCUGUUGUUAGAGAAGAACAGCGCAUAGAGUAACUGUUAUGCGUGUGACGGUAUCUAACCAGAAAGCCACGGCUAACUACGUGCCAGCAGCCGCGGUAAUACGUAGGUGGCAAGCGUUGUCCGGAUUUGUUGGGCGUAAAGCGAGCGCAGGCGGUCAAUUAAGUCUGAUGUGAAAGCCCCCGGCUCAACCGGGGAGGGUCAUUGGAAACUGGUUGACUUGAGUGCAGAAGAGGAGAGUGGAAUUCCAUGUGUAGCGGUGAAAUGCGUAGAUAUAUGGAGGAACACCAGUGGCGAAGGCGACUCUCUGGUCUGUAACUGACGCUGAGGCUCGAAAGCGUGGGUAGCAAACAGG
rnacentral:rRNA from 1 species